UGCACAGUAUAUAAAUAUAGGCGAUAUUUUCGGCACCCAUAUUAUUCGAAAUUACUGGCUAUUUUGUUGCAGUUUCUCCGAUCAGCAGCGGUAAACCUUCUAUAAUUAAAAGUUUAUCACAUCUUCUGGCACAAACCCCUAUCGAAAUCAAAAAUGGUGAAGAUCACGAAUGUGUCAAUCAGGUCAGCGCUGGAGAACAAGCAAUGGCGCUAUCUGGAAGUACUUUUGGAAGCAAUUAUUGUACUAACCUAUGCUACGGAUUUAUCGCAUUUUAUGCUGCGGACCUCCUUUCCUUCGUUGCGCGAGACACGAGCGGACGUCACGACGGAAAUGCAAAACUGGAACUCGUUUUCCUGGCUACAUUCAGGAAGCUGGAGUGGGAGCGUGGAAUGCUUUUGGGUCGCCAUGUUAUCGGAAUGGAUGCCGAUCGAUAUCGACCAACAAUAUCCCACAUGCAGCAACUGCACCAUUACCACUGACAACAGCACUACCGACGAGGAUGCAGCAGCUGCCUGUCUUCCCCGUUUUACUCCCUGCACACAAACCGAAUGCAACCAGCAGGGCCUAGUGGGUCAAGGGGCGGCGCUUAUCCUAUCUUUGGCAGCGGCUACUUUGUGCAUCAGCGUCAUCUGCAGUCUAUCGGUCAACUACAAACACUGGAUGCGUCCCUUGUUGCCGGAGCAUGAGGUGGAGAAUGAAACUGACCCGCCGGAAGACAAAGUCAACUGGAGCGAGUUGAGCAAAUGUAACUGGCUGAUCGUUAUCUGGCAUGUGGCGAUGGCGGUCAUUUUAACCAUCGCUAUUCCUUACCUGGUGGUGUUCCUCAUACCACCACUGGCUAUUGUGCUUUUCGGGCUGACUACCGGCAACACCACGGCGCCGGUUCUACCGGCAUAUUUAGUGUCAGUGUUCCUGUUAAUCACGUACAGCAUGUUGUCCCUGUUCCGUGUUAUUAAUCCGCCCUCGCGAGCCGUUCUGGUGUUCCGCUGCAUGGGAGAUCCCUAUUCGAAGCCUCCAAUGGGUUCCAUAGACGAUGGAUGUUCUGCUCUGGAAACCCAAGAGCGUUGCCGGCAGAGACGUCGUGCUGCAGUUGUGCGCAUGGGAUGCCUGAUGUUCUUACUGGCCACCUGUGGAACAAUGCUUUUCACCGCGUAUCCGCAUUUUGAUACCGUCAUUGACUAUGUCUCCACGUUUCCGCUCUGUGGUUUCCUGCGCGAUGAAAUUCCGAAAAUGACACUGAGCAACGCACGACUCUCCUACUGGGUGGAUCUGUCCGCAUGGCACAGCGACAGCAACUGGGACUUCCUCUUUCCCAACGGUGUACCGGAAGUGCCAUCAGAUGCCGCUAUCGUCGGCACUAUUGGACUGAUCUUAAGUGGAGCGUGCUUUGCGCUGGUUGUGGUUUCUGUCAUCUACAUUAUCGUCUCUGCGAUGGUCAUGCUGGUUAUUCUGUUCUGGGUCGCUGUGAAGGACUGCUGUGAAAACUGUCACGAAUCGUUGGAAGCCGAUGGCGAGAAGCCAAACGCCCCAGCCCCAGCGCUAGCACAGCCGGCGACCGCUGCUAACAAGAAACCCAACUGGUCUAGUCGAUUCAAGAUUAUGGGUAUGGGGUUGGUCUACAUCGCCUGGGUCGUCGUGUUCCACCUGACUGCAAAGCUGCUGUUCGCGGAACGAGCUUAUCUUCCCCUCUACAUGGGGUGGUUGGGGUUUCUCUUGGUCAUGCUGGGCGACACGGUCGUCUUCUUGGUUCGCCUGUCAAAAUACGAAUCCGCAAUGGCAGAGCAAGUGACACUCGUGUCCCAACAAUUGCAAGAAUGAUGUUGUGCACGCGUACGGAUGCGGAGACGUUCCUCCUACACUCUCAUUCUAAACUUCAGUUACAGUGGCCGUUAUAUAAAACUGGAGAGUAAAAAACCCCGUUAUACUGUAAUUAAGGAAAUGAUGCUAAUAUUGACACAGCCCGUGACAGCCGUCACGGCGCGACAUGCUUUAGCACUACUGUAGAGAAGCUCUGCACGAAGUCGAAGAUGAUCGUAAUGUACGGUAUAUGUUCAGUCUUAAUGACACUGGGUAAGCUAGAUUCGGAAUUCGACGAGGUUUAUGCAGCUACAGAGUACUCGUAGAUAUUGCACGUCACACUUUUUCGUAUGGAAUAUGUUGUCGUAUUUGCUUGUUUUACGUGAAACGUUUCUGUGUCGUGUAUUGUACAGAAAAUUAUCGUAAUCGUUAUCUUUGUUUGGCAUUUACUUAUUUAUUCCAGCUGUUCAUGUAUAAUAAGUAAUAGUUAAUAACUGAACGUGUCAUGAAAUGCGCUUGCUAUAAGCCGUAAUAAACAUGGAACGUAUGCGCUAAUACAACUCCAGAUCUGAUUUUGGAACAAAGCAAAACUAUACCGGCAUAUCAAAGAUUAUUAUUGAUCGGGACAACAACCGGCAACUGGAACUCUGCCUGUGCAUACAGCGUGUUAGGAUCAAUCGAGUGCUGCGGACGCACAUUUUCAUGAUCAAGGUCGGGGUCCGUCCGAACUACAUGCCGUGAAUCACGCGUACUGUACGUCAUGUGCCGAGUCUGGCAAGCCUGGCUACAGCCGUGCUGGCAUAUUUAACCGUAACUACAUGUGUGCAUGUUGCGAGCUUUUCAGACUAAGUUCGUUCUUCCCAGUCUAUCAGCCGUUGGUUGCAGGGACCGCCUGCGAUGCAUGCAUAGCCAUCAAGCCAGUGUAUCCUGUGCGGAAGUGGAACCACACGAGUUGCAAUUUAGGGCGUCCCAGAAGAGUCAGAUCACAAGCAAUUUUAUACCAUAUAAAAAGUUUUUUUUUAAAUCUGAAAUUUCAGAGUGCUACCAAAACAAUUUAAAAAUGGCGCGCUGUUCUUACGGAUGUAUGCGAAACGUGUUAAAGAAUGACAGAUGGGGAUUUAUGGAGAUAAUCCUGGAGACGCUUGUGGUAAUAUUCUUUACGACGGAUUUAUCGCACUUCUUACUACGCACCACCGUAUCAUCCUUACGCCGCUAUUAUUAUUCACGAGCGGAUAUCGGUACAGAAAUGCAACGCUGGAACUUGAUUACCGUGCCUGUUUAUAGCCUCCAAUCGAAUCCGGAAGCGUACGAUUGUUACUGGAUUUCAUCACUGGCUGAACACUGGCUGCCGAUCAACAUAUCCAUAAAAUAUCCAACAUGCUGCAAAACGUUCUAUCACAACAUGACGGAUAUUGUCUGUGCGAACUAUUCCGAAGCGAUCAUACCGUAUGUCUCCAAGAGUUCGUAUAAUAAGUACCAUGUGAACGAUUGUGGAGGAUGGUGUGCCACGGCGAUCCUCCUAGCCUAUGUCACGUUGUCUCUGUGUGCGUGCACCGGUGUAAGCUUGGCCGGUAACUAUUACUAUGGUCACUGGACGCAACCGGUACUGUAUCCGCGACCGACCCAAGAUGGCGCCACCCUGGACAACCAGAGUCGCCCGGGUAAUUUACUGUUCACUUGGGUCGGGGCCAUUUUACUGGGAGUGAUAACCCUGGUAUUGAUUGUCUGCAUCCCGGUGAUGCUGGUGGUAUUCUUUAUACCAUGGUUGGGAUAUGUCAUUUUCGGUCAUGCGGGAGUUUUACCAGUGUGCGUGUUCACUGUGGUGCUGUUAGCCGUAUACUCUCAUCUGUGCUUAUUCGGGGUUAUCCGACCGCCUUCCCGGUUUCGCCUCGUUUUUAGCUUCCUAAUGAAAAACAGCUAUGAAUGGCUCCGUGUUCCUCGGAAAGAUCUCGGCGACAAUAAUUUGACGGACUAUAAAUGGUGUGCUAUUGCUCGCCUCGGUUGUGUAUUUUUCCUGUUGGCCUUAUGCGGAAUCAUUAUCUUCCCUGCAUAUCCUCAAUUUAACACGGCUGUCAACCUGGUGUACUCUUAUCCAUACUACAAUACACUGGACAAUUCAACACUGGUGUUAGGACUAAAUCAAGCACGCCUCGCUGAUUGGGUGAAUCCACUUUCCUUAUACAGCAAAUCAGCUAUCAGCUAUCUGUACUGGGAUCACACUUCCACGGAUAUAGGUGUUUUCUUUAUUAUUGGCCAAAUCGGACUUGUUGUGAGCCUUGUCUGUUUUCUUAUCGCCAUCGUCUUCAUCGUCGGAAUUCUGCCGGGACUGCUUAUCUUCUUACUGUACAGCGCGUGUAAGGAUUGCUCUGGUGGUCAAUCAAGCCAUGACAAAACUGUACGAACGGUGUGGCAGAACCGGUGCCGCAUUGCAGCUAUGGCGUUCUUCUAUACCGCGACACAAAUUGUUUUUCACUUGGCUGUUACAUUCGCCGGACCGGAACAAGCCUUUCUUCCCCUGUAUCUGCUGUGGAUUGCAAUGCUGGCCGGUGAUGUUGUGCGGGAAGUCAAGCUCAUUAUUCAGCUAUCCCGGCGCGGCCCUAGCUUUUCCGACCACGAACAUGUAGCACUGUCGUGAAGUGGAUGUAUAAUGUAAUCGACGAGAUCACUAUGUGCCACCGACAUUUGUCAAUCAACUGAAUCUCGUCACGCAUCGCUAGCAAGGGAUAUUGCGAUUGCACUGCGACACAGGUCUGAAAUUCCAGAAGCCGCUUCGCGAGGAGAAUGCUAACAAUGCUGCAUGUGUUUUGGUAUAAAAAGCAUUUUUUUAAUUAUAGCAUCGUAAGAAUACGAUAUCUGUUAUGUGAUGUACGGUAUCUUGUAAGAGCGCUUCUGAUGAUAGUAACUUCCGCAGUGUUUUGAUCUUUUUGGUAAUUUUUCGGCAGUGCAAAUCUCAUAUUGCUCACUACAGAGUAAUUUUGUUUUGUUGGAGUAGUUUCCUUGUUUUAUGGUUCGUUUUCCAUGGUUGUUGAAGUUGUUCUUAUCUUGUUUUGUCUGAUAAUUUUUUCUGGAUGGCGUAGGCCAAAAAAUUGCUACUUUAGUGAGUCUGUAAGUAAUCACAUUUUGCGAUAAAG